rnacentral:rRNA from 1 species
CGUGAGGAACCUGCCUUCCAGACGGGGGACAACAGUUGGAAACGACUGCUAAUACCGCAUGAUGCAUUGAAGUCGCAUGGCUUUGAUGUCAAAGAUUUAUCGCUGGAAGAUGGCCUCGCGUCUGAUUAGCUAGUUGGUGAGGUAACGGCCCACCAAGGCGACGAUCAGUAGCCGGACUGAGAGGUUGGCCGGCCACAUUGGGACUGAGAUACGGCCCAGACUCCUACGGGAGGCAGCAG